rnacentral:rRNA from 1 species
UACAGAGGUCCCAAGCGUUGUUCGGAUUCACUGGGCGUAAAGGGUGCGUAGGCGGUCGGGUAAGUCUGAUGUGAAAUCUCACAGCUUAACUGUGAAACUGCAUUGGAUACUAUCCGGCUCGAGGAAUGGAGGGGAGACUGGAAUACUUGGUGUAGCAGUGAAAUGCGUAGAUAUCAAGUGGAACACCAGUGGCGAAGGCGAGUCUCUGGACAUUUCCUGACGCUGAGGCACGAAAGCGUGGGGAUCAAACAGG